ensembl:lncRNA
AGGUUACUAAUCAGAAAAGAUGGGGCUAAUCUAGUCACAGGAGCCCUUUAAAAGCAGAGUUCUCUUCAGCUGGUAACAGAAGGGCAAGUCAGAGAUUGAAGCAGGAGAAGGCCUUGAUGCCCUGACGCUGCUUUGAAAAUGGAGGGGCCUUGUGAGAAGGAAUGUGAGCGGCCUCUUGGAGCAGAGUGACCCCCAGCUGACAGCCAGCAAGGAAAUGGAGACCUCAUGCUGAAAACUGCAAGGCACUGAAUCCUGCUAACAACUUGAUGGCUUAGAAGACUCUGCCCCAGAGCCUCCAGCCCCAACAACCAUUAGAUGCCUUUGCCCAUGAAGGAAGAAGCUGCUACUUCUUUGAGAACUGCCAUCUUGAGUUGAGACUGUGCAGUCCUUGGCCCUGAUGCUCAGCCCUCUUAUCUUUUCUUUGCGGAAGUCCCUGAUGAGGGAAGCCACAGGCAACUUCAUGGUAAAUGGUUUGAUGGAUGUGGCAACAGUCUGAUGCAUUUUUGAUGGAUAUAAAUAGUCUGGUGGACCCAAAUGUUUUCUCAGCAAACUCCUGGGAUGAUUUUUCUACCAAGGUUGGAAAAGAAGUUAUGUCUAGAAUCUCUUAGACAAUCUGAAACUUCCUUGGAUGUUUAAAAGGAAUUAGAAUAAAGGAACACAUUGCUAAAGUGAUGGAGAAGGAGGAGCUAGGAGAGAAAGCAGGGGCAGAGUGUCUUCAACAAAGGGACAGCACAUAUCUAUCUCAGAUCUUUUAGAUGCCUCUGAAUUAAAAGAUUUUCUUUCUGUCCUUUUCAGCCAUUGAAAUUCCAAAUUUGACUCUUUUUGAUUCACUCCAUUCUGUCUUUUUCCUUCAUGCAGGUAUACCAGGUUGCAAAUGGAAAGGCACAGAAAAAGUUCAGGAAGGCUCCUGGGUCCUUAAAUCCUGUAUUCAGGGGGCAGCCCCCUUGCUGUCCCUUGGUCGCCAGGGAAUUCCUUUGUGUAGGUUAGAGGCAGACCUAGGGCCUGAAACAAAGCAGAACAAGGGGCUACCUGUUCCCUUCCCUGUAGGCCCACACCCAGAUCUCAGCUGCCUUUAUCUCACCCCUCCUACGCAUCAACAAGAAGAAGGGAGACAGCACAGAGCUUUUGUCCCAAUGUCUAGAACAGAGAUGAUAGGAGGCCACCCACACAGGUGUCCUAGAUCAGGGCAUCAGCCAUAGAAUUUGCCAAUUCUCCUUGAAAGCUCCUGGGUUUUUUCUUCUACACGUAGUCCGAAUAGUCCUAGUUAAUAGAGCAACGAAUCACAGGAAACCAAACCUGGUUCAAAAGAAUCAUACAUCUCAGGCUAUCUUCUAUCUGAAGCUUUACAGCUGGGCCAAGCAAAACCAAGUUAAGUUUUUCUUUGGAACUCUCUAGCCUCAUGUUCUUGUUUUUGUCCACUUUUCCAAAUCACCAGCUUUCUUUGGAUGCACAGCAUCUUCUGG